GAAUCACAGUAUAGGAAUCUAUCCUAUAGCCAACACCAGCAUACCUCACUGCCUAUACCUAGUUAUAGUCUUUCUUUCGAGGAAGACAUUCGACAAAUUCUCCACUCCUACAUGCAAUCCAUCGUUAAGGUAGAGAUCCAACUCGAUCAACAAGUAGUCGCAUUCAGUAGGGAGGAGGAAGGAGAGCUGUCUAGUCAGCCCG
rnacentral:lncRNA from 1 species